GACGAACGCUGGCGGCGUGCUUAACACAUGCAAGUCGAACGGAAAGGCCCCUUUGGGGGUACUCGAGUGGCGAACGGGUGCGUAACACGUGAGUAACCUGCCCUUGACUUCGGGAUAACUUCAGGAAACUGGGGCUAAUACCGGAUAGGAAUCCUUGCUGCAUGGUGGGGGUUGGAAAGCUUCGGCGGUUUUGGAUGGACUCGCGGCUUAUCAGCUUGUUGGUGGGGUAGUGGCUUACCAAGGCUUUGACGGGUAGCCGGCCUGAGAGGGCGACCGGCCACAUUGGGACUGAGAUACGGCCCAGACUCCUACGGGAGGCAGCAGUGGGGAAUAUUGCACAAGGGGCGGAAGCCUGAUGCAGCAACGCCGCGUGCGGGAUGACGGCCUUCGGGUUGUAAACCGCGUUCAGCAGGGGCGAAGCUUGUGAUGACGGUACCUGCAGAAGAAGCACCGGCUAACUACGUG
rnacentral:rRNA from 1 species